rnacentral:lncRNA from 1 species
UUGAUCAAGAAUGUGUGAAGCUUUUGAGAAUUGUGGUUGAACUCAUUUGAUGAAGCUUUUGUUAGCACCAUAAAUUGGUUUUACUUCACACUGUCUUGAUCAAGAGUGUGUGAAGCUUUUAAGAAUUGUGGUUGAACUCCUUUGAUGAAGCUUUUGUUGGCACCAUAAAUUGGUUUUGCUUCACACUGUCUGGAUCAAGAGUGUGUGAAGCUUUUGAGAAUUGUGGUUGCCCUCAUUUGAUGAAGCUUUUGUUGGCACCAUAAAUUGGUUUUGCUUCACACUGUCUUGAUCGAGAGUGUGUGAAGUUUUUGAGAAUUGUAGUUGUCCUCCAUUGAUGAAGCUCUUGUUGACACCAUAAAUUGGUUUUGUUUCACACUAUCUUGAUCAAGAGUGUGUGAAACUUUUAAGAAUUGUGGUUGAACUCCUUUGAUGAAGCUCUUGUUGGCACUAUAAAUUGGUUUUGCUUCACACUGUCUUGAUCAAGAGUGUAUGAAGCUUUUGAGAAUUGUGGUUACAUUGAUACAUAGGAGAAAUGUAUGGAGCAGAUGCAAGAGGGCUGAAUACCUUGAUUUUCGUAUGCCAUGCACUAAAGUUGUUGUUGGCUUGUAAUAAGACUUUGUUGGUGACUAUAACUCUUGUUGGGCAUAAGUGCUCCCUUAGUUGAGAUGUCAAGCUUAAGGGUUUUUGAUUAUUUGUGAAUGCUAGGAGUUCACAUGUACAAGUUGCACCACUCGUCUUCUGGUAGGUGGAAUGAAUGGUGAGUUGCUUUCAUCACUUGGUUGGUGGUACGAAGGUGGGUUCCUUCAUCACCUUUCAUCACAUUUCAUCACCUGGUUGGUGACACGAUGAUGAGUUCCUUCUUCACCUGGUUGGUUGCAUGAAUGGCAAGUUGCCAAAUGAUAUUAGAGUACGGGUUGUACAUUUCAUCACUUGUUGGUGGCAUGAAGAUGAGUUCCUUCUUCACCUGGUUGGUGGCAUGAGUGGCAAGUUGCCAACUGAUAUUAAAGUAUGGGUUGUACAUUUCAUCACCUGGUUGGUGGCAUGAAUGAGAGUACGGGUUGUGCAUUUCAUCACCUGGUUGAUGGCAUAAAUGGCAAGUUACCAAAUGAUAUUAGAGUACGGGUUAUACAUUUCAUCACCUGGUUGGUGGCAUGAAAGAGAGUAGGGUCGUACAUUUCAUCACCUGGUUAGUGGCAUGAAGAUGAGUUUCUUCUUCACCUGGUUGGUGGCAUGAGUGGCAAGUUGCCAAAUGAUAUUAGAGUACAGGUUGUACAUUUCAUCACCUAGUUGGUGGCAUAAAGGAGAGUACAGGUUAUACAUUUCAUCACCUGGUUGGUGAGAAUAAGGGCAAGGUGUCGAGGCACAUUGUAGCAAGUGUUGAAGACACAAAGUAUGUUGAACCCUUUCGAAGCACAGUUGGCUUAUGUAUGUAUGGAUGUGUUGGAAUGUAUGAUGUUUAUGUAUGAAUGUGUUGGAAUGUAUGAUCUUUAUGUAUGAAUGUGUUAGAAUGUAUGAUGUUUAUGUUGAUUGAUAUGAGUGAUACUUAUGAAUGUUUUGCUAUGCAUGAAGGGAUCCAUGCUUUUGAUAUGUGAACCAUGUUGGUUGUAACACUUAGUAUCACAUACUUUGUGUCAAAGUACGCAUGUUGAAGCUUUGAGUUGGAGUAUAAGGGUAGGUCAGCGUAGACCAAGUGUUCCAGUGCUAGGAACGCAAAAGACUCAGAAGAAGUUGUCUGAAUUCCCUCUUCUUUAAAUAUUUGCCGAAUGGCUUAUGUGACAAAAGAUCUCAAGCGGUUGAGAGUCAAAACAUUUGUAAUGUGUAUGCCUUCUUAUAAUAGCAUUUUCUUCAAUACCUAGUCCUCCACUUUGAAAGAGUGAGGCUUGGCCCCAUAGUCAUAAUAGUCAACGGUA